UACGUAGGGUGCGAGCGUUAAUCGGAAUUACUGGGCGUAAAGCGUCCGCAGGUGGCACUUCAAGUCUGUCGUCAAAGACUGGGGCUUAACCCCGGAAAGGCGGUGGAAACUGAAGCGCUAGAGUGCGGUAGGGGUAGAGGGAAUUCCCGGUGUAGCGGUGAAAUGCGUAGAGAUCGGGAAGAACAUCGGUGGCGAAAGCGCUCUACUGGACCGCAACUGACACUCAGGGACGAAAGCUAGGGGAGCGAAUGGG
rnacentral:rRNA from 1 species